rnacentral:misc_RNA from 1 species
GUUAGAUGAACAAUAAGGUUCAUUCAUUCUGAUGAAUUGUAUAUAAUUGAUGUUAUAUGAACAAUAAGGUUCAUUGUUAUGAAUAUUAUAUGGGUAUUCCUUUCUCAUUUUGUGCUUGAGAAAUAAUAAUUGUGAUUUCUUACCCAUAAUAAAGUAUUUAUGUAUGAGUCUGAAGUUGGAACUUCACUGAACAUCAAAAUUAUUAUCUUUUCGUUAUCUUCUAUCAUUUUUAAACAUCAAAAGAUGUGUUUACUGUUACAAAAUUCACACUUUUCUUUACUCACAUAGAUCAUUCUUGACCUGGUGGACAGAGUGUUUUUGAUUUGUAGAUUCCUGGUAAUAGUUAGCACCUGAUACUAGUCUUAGUAAUUAUGAAAAUAAAAAUUUCUGGAUAUGAUUCAAUUCAGAUAAUAUUUGCUAUUCUUCUUCUUCUUUUUUUUACCCCAAAUUAUUUCACUUCGUUUUGCAUAUCUUUACAGCUGUU